rnacentral:rRNA from 1 species
GACGAACGCUGGCGGCGUGCUUAACACAUGCAAGUCGAACGGAAAGGCCCUGCUUUUGUGGGGUGCUCGAGUGGCGAACGGGUGAGUAACACGUGAGUAACCUGCCCUUGACUUUGGGAUAACUUCAGGAAACUGGGGCUAAUACCGGAUAGGAGCUCCUGCUGCAUGGUGGGGGUUGGAAAGUUUCGGCGGUUGGGGAUGGACUAGCGGCUUAUCAGCUUGUUGGUGGGGUAGUGGCUUACCAAGGCUUUGACGGGUAGCCGGCCUGAGAGGGUGACCGGCCACACUGGGACUGAGAUACGGCCCAGACUCCUACGGGAGGCAGCAGUGGGGAAUAGUGCACAAUGGGCGGAAGCCUGAUGCAGCAACGCCGCGUGCGGUAUGACGGCCUUCGGUUUGUAAACCGAUUUCGCCUGUGACGAAGCGUGAGUGACGGUAAUGGGUAAAGAAGCACCGGCUAACUACGUG